rnacentral:sRNA from 1 species
UCUGCGUCGCCAUCCCGGCCCUGCUGGACCCCGGGGUCAGUAGGAAGCCGCGGGGUGGUGGCGAGAGAGGACCCAGGUGUCCUGGCAGUGGGCGCCGCGGGGCACACGCUGGGCCAAGGUGCAGGCGGCCAGGGUGGGAGACUGUUCGCCCCGCCCUGAGUCCUCCUCUCUUGCUUCUCCACCUGUUCGGGAGUUGGAGAUGUGCACCUAAAGGAGGCGCAUCUGGGGACGGACACAUCUGGCACUGAGGCCCUCGCCACCUGCCUCGCCACCUGGCGACCCUGACCCCACCACACUGCCUUGAGAGUCGCUCAAAAGUAGGGCCCCAGGGCUCGCAGCAGCAUGGGCACCGAGAAAGAAAGCCCAGAGCCCGACUGCCAGAAACAGUUCCAGGCUGCAGUGAGCGUCAUCCAGAACCUGCCCAAGAACGGUGAGGCUGCGGGGACUCGCAUUUGGACUCGCAUUCAGGACGCCUGGGGUCUGACUCUGAAGAAAGAAUGGUCCUGAUCACUGCAGUUUUUGCAGACAAGCCCCUGCCUGGGCUGUCCUGGGGGUUCCCUCCGCUUCCUAUCCUAGUCCAGAUGCCCUGGGUGGGACUCAUCCCCACCUCUGCCCUUUCCAAGCAGGGUUCUCCCGCCCCUCCGCCCCUUGGAGCUGGGAGUGAUGCUUUGCCCUGGCUUCCCAACUCUCUGCCCAGGUUCUUACCGCCCCUCCUAUGAAGAGAUGCUGCGAUUCUACAGUUACUACAAGCAGGCCACCAUGGGGCCCUGCCUGGUCCCCCGGCCCGGGUUCUGGGACCCCAUUGGACGAUAUAAGUGGUGAGCUCCCUGCUGGCUGGGCAAACAAGCCUCAGCUGUCAAGCAGCCCUCUCACAGCCCUCUGCCCCCAGGGACGCCUGGAACAGUCUGGGCAAGCUGAGCAGGGAGGAGGCCAUGUCUGCCUACAUCACUGAAAUGAAACUGGUGGCACAGAAGGUGAUCGACACAGUGCCCCUGGGUGAGGUGGCAGAGGACAUGUUUGGUUACUUCGAGCCCCUGUACCAGGUGAUCCCUGACAUGCCGAGGCCCCCAGAGACCUUCCUGAGAAGGGUCACAGGUUGGAAAGAGCAGGUUGUGAAUGGAGAUGUUGGGGCUGUUUCAGAGCCUCCCUGCCUCCCCAAGGAACUGGCACCCCCAAGCCCAGCUUCCCUCUGGGCAGUAACUCUACCAACCCCUCCACAGAGUCCCAUUCACCCAGGGACCUGGACUCCGAGGUUUUCUGUGAUUCCCUGGAGCAGCUGGAGCCUGAGCUGGUUUGGACAGAGCAGCGGACAGCAUCUGGAGGAAAGCGUGAUCCCAGGAACAGCCCCGUGCCCCCCACAAAGAAAGAGGGGUUGCGGGGCAGCCCGCCGGGGCCCCAGGAGUUGGACGUGUGGCUGCUGGGGACAGUUCGAGCACUACAGGAGAGCAUGCAGGAGGUGCAGGCGAGGGUGCAGAGCCUGGAGAGCAUGCCCCCGCCCCCUGAGCAGAGGCCGCAGCCCAGGCCCAGUGCUCGGCCAUGGCCCCUUGGGCUCCCGGGGCCCGCGCUGCUCUUCUUCCUCCUGUGGCCCUUCGUCGUCCAGUGGCUCUUCCGAAUGUUUCGGACCCAAAAGAGGUGACUGUCAGUGGAGGAGUCUCUGCAGCCAACUGAGACCAUCUUGCUGUGCCCUGAGCCUUCCUAGGGUUUAGAAGAACAGCAUUCAAAAUUCCCCCUCCUGUCAGUGUUUGCCUUCGCACCUCCUCCCCUAAAGCAGCGCGGGGGGCAAAUAAGACCCCACCCCUCCCUGCAGCUUCACAGGGACGCUUCCUUCCCUCCCCGCAACCACCCCAGGCUCCCCUGGGAGGCUGCAGUUGUGGUACACGACCCCGGUGCUGGGUUGGCCGUGACUCGGGGGCGGGGCUAUCGGGUCUCAGCCCCUGCCCUCCCCAGUCUCUGGGUCACCUGACUCUUCCCACCCCUGCUUCUCCCCGAGGAGGUUCAGCUCUUGAGCAAGUUGGGACUUGGGCGGGGGCCUGGAAGAAUGAUUGGCUGGGAGGCCGCGGGAGGGAGGCCAGGAGGCCCGGACCAGUUGGGAGGAGUGAGCAGGCCCCGGGGGAGGGGGAUGAGCGCAGUUUGCUCGCUUUCCUCCCCUGCCGGCCCCCUCCGCCCCCACACACACUCGGGAAGUCUUCAUUGAAGAUUCACUUACAAACGAAUGUUUCACUAAAUAAAAGAAAACCAUAA